GGGACCAAUUACCACUUCAAACAAAAUUACAUUUAGCCUUGUUUACUUUAAAUUGUUUGACUCCUGGUACGGAUGGCAAGACCCCAACAGAACGACACUGGCAACUGCUAGAGGAAAAGAGGCAAGUUUAUCCAAAAGUGUUAUGGAAAUCCCCAGAAGAAGGACAAUGGAAAGGUCCGGUGGAUUUGCUGACGUGGGGACGAGGGUAUGCUUGUGUUUUUACAGGAGAUGGACAAACCGUGUGGGUGCCCUCCAGGUGUGUGUGACCAUGGAACGGGAGACCGGAGGGAUCCGUGGUAUUCAACCGUGGGCCUGUUACCUCCAGUACAAGCCAUGAGCCAGCGGAAUCUGAAUGCAAAGACAGAACAAGGGCCGACCGGAGUCACAAUGACAUCCAACCCCAUAACAUGGGGACAGAUCAAGAAAACGACACAGGAAGCUGAGAAACUACUGGAGCGCCAGGGUCAGGCAAAAACCCCUGACUCCAUGUUCUUGGCCAUGCUAGCUGUAGUGUCCUGUGCGUCUAUAGGAUCGGGUGAACCACCAACCGGCAAUUGAAAGCUGCACAGCCUGAAAUUACCUUUAUUCAAUUAAUGCAAAAACAAAAGGGGAGAUGUUGGAGGCCGAAGGAAUGAGGGUCGUGACCAACUCAGUAUACCACUGGAGGCUCUGUGAGCAAACAGCAAACUGUUCUCAUGAAAGCAGGAUGUUGGCGAACUGACAAACUCUGUCUGCCGCCAGAAGGAAUGCUGGGGGCAGUCAUGUCCCAGGUCCCCUGCUCCUUGAGGUUAUCCACAGGAACAUCCAGAACCUGUUGAACAAAGAAAGGAAUCAUGUGGGCCUGUGUUAAAUCAAAUAGCUGACUGACAGUUAUCCCUUCCUCCCUAUUCACUCUACCUAAUAAAUACGAAGGGCUGUAAAAGCUCAGGUCCCUGUUCCCUAGAAUCAAGGAGCCCCCUGACCCCUUCUUUCAAACAGAUCCUUUUGUCUGUCUCAUUUCUGCAUUCAUCCUCCUUCGUUCGGUCCAGAAGCAACCGCGACAGUCCUGCAUGUGUUGAUGCCACCUGUAUGUGCAGGUGUGACCUCAGGUGUGUGAGUAUCCUUUAUACCCCUUAUCAUCACUGCCUAUUCGCUCUUCCUCCAGCCUCUGGCAACCACUAAUCCACGUUAUGUGUCUAGAUUUGCCUCUUCUGGACACUUCAUAUAAAUGGAGUCAUACAAUAUGUGGUUUCUUGUGUCUGGCUUUUUACCACUGAACGUUUUCAGAGUUCAUCCAUGUUGUAGCAUGUAUCAGUUUUUCAUUCCUCUUUAUGGCUGAAUAAUACUGCAUUGUAUGGAUAUACCACAGUUUGUUUACUCAUUAGUUCAUAGACAUUGGGGUUGUUUCCAACUCUGAUAUUAUAAAU
rnacentral:lncRNA from 1 species